rnacentral:rRNA from 1 species
GACGAACGCUGGCGGCGUGCCUAAUACAUGCAAGUUGAGCGCUGAAGGUUGGUACUUGUACCGACUGGAUGAGCAGCGAACGGGUGAGUAACGCGUGGGGAAUCUGCCUUUGAGCGGGGGACAACAUUUGGAAACGAAUGCUAAUACCGCAUAAAAACUUUAAACACAAGUUUUAAGUUUGAAAGAUGCAAUUGCAUCACUCAAAGAUGAUCCCGCGUUGUAUUAGCUAGUUGGUGAGGUAAAGGCUUACCAAGGCGAUGAUACAUAGCCGACCUGAGAAGGUGAUCGGCCAAAUUGGGACUGGGACACGGCCCAAACUCCCACGGGGAGCAGCAGUAGGGAAACUUCGGCAAUGGGCGGAAGUCUGACCGAGCAACGCCGCGGGAGUGGAGGAGGUUUUCGGGUCGUAAAACUCUGUUGGUAGGGAAGAACGUUGGUGAGAGUGGAAAGCUCAUCAAGUGACGGUAACUACCCAGAAAGGGACGGCUAACUACGUG